GAGGGGAGCAUCUAAAAAGUGCUGUAAAAAAAGAACUGUCAGCCUACAAUUCUAUAGCCAAUGAAAAUGUUCUUCCCGAAUGAGAUAAAAUGAAGUCAUUCUAAAUGAAGGAAAACUAUGGUAAUUUUUUUGAUAGUAAACAUGCUCUAAAAGAAAUGCUAAAGCAAGUUCUUCAGGCUGAAAUGAAAUAGUACCAGAGGGAAAUUGGAACUUUAGGAAUAAAGGAGAAACAAGAAAAGUAGUAAAUACCUGGUCUCAAGUUGAAACGUGGUCUCUGCCUAGAUUUCAAGCUUGCCAGUUUAAAGACUGGAACUCCCCAAUCAGCUCCUUUGGAUGCCCAGCCUGCCCACUGCAGAUCUUGAAAUCAUAAAGUUCCUGUGGACAUGGACUUUUUGGUGAUAGCAGAGAGCAUGAAUGAGCAGAAACAUGCAGGUGCUUUCACAAGUCUCUACAUCAUAUAUGCUAGCAUCCUAUUGGCCGAAACAAGUUACAUGGCGUGGUCCACAGACUGGAAGGACGAGGUUACAUUGCAACUGGGGUAAAUACGUAAUCAUCUACCAUGGUGCUGCUAUAGUUUUCUGGUGCCAAAUAGCAUGUGCACUGUGAUAUCAUCUACAGUAAGAGAAUGAAUUUCUUAGUCUACUGACUUACCUCAAACAAAAAUCCGUGUGA